CCUACGGGAGGCAGCAGUGAGGAAUAUUGGUCAAUGGACGGAAGUCUGAACCAGCCAUGCCGCGUGCAGGAAGACGGCUCUAUGAGUUGUAAACUGUUUCUGUACAAGGGUAAACCUGAAUACGUGUAUUCUGCUGAAAGUACUGUACGCAUAAGGAUCGGCUAACUCCGUGCCAGCAGCCGCGGUAAUACGGAGGAUCCAAGCGUUAUCCGGAUUUAUUGGGUGUAAAGGGUACGUAGGCGGAUUGAUAAGUUGGAGGUGAAAUGUCCGGGCUUAACUUGGGAACUGCCUCUAAUACUGGUGAGCUAGAGAGUAGAUGCGGUAGGCAGAAUGUAUGGUGUAGCGGUGAAAUGCUUAGAGAU
rnacentral:rRNA from 1 species